GACGAACGCUGGCGGCGUGCUUAACACAUGCAAGUCGAACGGUAAGGCUCCAGCUUGCUGGGGUACACGAGUGGCGAACGGGUGAGUAACACGUGGGUGACCUGCCCUGCACUUCGGGAUAAGCCCGGGAAACUGGGUCUAAUACCGGAUAGGACUGCACCGUGAGGGUGUGGUGGAAAGUUUUUUCGGUGUGGGAUGGGCCCGCGGCCUAUCAGCUUGUUGGUGGGGUAAUGGCCUACCAAGGCGGCGACGGGUAGCCGGCCUGAGAGGGUGGACGGCCACAUUGGGACUGAGACACGGCCCAGACUCCUACGGGAGGCAGCAGUGGGGAAUAUUGCACAAUGGGCGGAAGCCUGAUGCAGCGACGCCGCGUGGGGGAUGACGGCCUUCGGGUUGUAAACUCCUUUCACCAUCGACGAAGGGUUUCUGACGGUAGAUGGAGAAGAAGCACCGGCUAACUACGUGCCAGCAGCCGCGGUAAUACGUAGGGUGCGAGCGUUGUCCGGAAUUACUGGGCGUAAAGAGCUCGUAGGUGGUUUGUCGCGUCGUCUGUGAAAUUCCGGGGCUUAGCUCCGGGCGUGCAGGCGAUACGGGCAUAACUUGAGUACUGUAGGGGAGACUGGAAUUCCUGGUGUAGCGGUGAAAUGCGCAGAUAUCAGGAGGAACACCGGUGGCGAAGGCGGGUCUCUGGGCAGUAACUGACGCUGAGGAGCGAAAGCAUGGGGAGCGAACAGGAUUAGAUACCCUGGUAGUCCAUGCCGUAAACGGUGGGCGCUAGGUGUGGGUUUCCUUCCACGGGAUCCGUGCCGUAGCUAACGCAUUAAGCGCCCCGCCUGGGGAGUACGGCCGCAAGGCUAAAACUCAAAGGAAUUGACGGGGGCCCGCACAAGCGGCGGAGCAUGUGGAUUAAUUCGAUGCAACGCGAAGAACCUUACCUGGGCUUGACAUAUACAGGAUCGCGCCAGAGAUGGUGUUUCCCUUGUGGCUUGUAUACAGGUGGUGCAUGGUUGUCGUCAGCUCGUGUCGUGAGAUGUUGGGUUAAGUCCCGCAACGAGCGCAACCCUUGUCUUAUGUUGCCAGCACGUUGUGGUGGGGACUCGUAAGAAACUGCCGGGGUUAACUCGGAGGAAGGUGGGGAUGACGUCAAAUCAUCAUGCCCCUUAUGUCCAGGGCUUCACACAUGCUACAAUGGUCGGUACAGUGGGUUGCCAGUCCGUGAGGGCGAGCUAAUCCCGCAAAGCCGGUCUCAGUUCGGAUCGGGGUCUGCAACUCGACCCCGUGAAGUCGGAGUCGCUAGUAAUCGCAGAUCAGCAACGCUGCGGUGAAUACGUUCCCGGGCCU
rnacentral:rRNA from 1 species